rfam:Homo sapiens chromosome 6, GRCh38 reference primary assembly.
GCUGGGUGUGGUGGUGCACACCUGUAAUCCCAGCUACUCGGGAGGCUGAGGCAGGAGACUCACUUGAACCCAGGAGGCAGAGGUUGUUUUGAGCUGAGAUUGUGCCACUGCACUCCAGCCUGGGUGACAGAGUGAGACUCAGUCUCAA